rnacentral:rRNA from 1 species
UUCGAAGCAACGCGAAGAACCUUACCAGGUCUUGACAUCCUCUGACAACCCUAGAGAUAGGGCUUUCCCUUCGGGGACAGAGUGACAGGUGGUGCAUGGUUGUCGUCAGCUCGUGUCGUGAGAUGUUGGGUUAAGUCCCGCAACGAGCGCAACCCUUGAUCUUAGUUGCCAGCAUUCAGUUGGGCACUCUAAGGUGACUGCCGGUGACAAACCGGAGGAAGGUGGGGAUGACGUCAAAUCAUCAUGCCCCUUAUGACCUGGGCUACACACGUGCUACAAUGGACAGAACAAAGGGCUGCAAGACCGCAAGGUUUAGCCAAUCCCAUAAAUCUGUUCUCAGUUCGGAUCGCAGUCUGCAACUCGACUGCGUGAAGCUGGAAUCGCUAGUAAUCGCGGAUCAGCAUGCCGCGGUGAAUACGUUCCCGGGCCUUGUACACACCGCCCGUCACACCACGAGAGUUUGCAACACCCGAAGUCGGUGAGGUAACCUUUAUGGAGCCAGCCGCCGAAGGUGGGGCAGAUGAUUGGGGUGAAGUC